rnacentral:rRNA from 1 species
GGGUGAGUAACGCGUGGGUAUCUGCCUUUUAGUGGGGAAUAACACAGCGAAAGUUGUGCUAAUGCCGCAUGUGUAAGCAAUUACAAAGAUGGCGUCCGCAAGGAGCUAUCGCUAAAAGAAGGGCCCGCGUCCUAUUAGUUUGUUGGUGGGGUAAUGGCCUACCAAGACUAUGAUAGGUAUCCGGUCUGAGAGGAUGAUCGGACACACUGGAACUGAGACACGGUCCAGACUCC